rnacentral:rRNA from 1 species
CCCUUAGAUGUUCUGGGCCGCACGCGCGCUACACUGACGGAGCCAACGAGUAUUUUCCUUGUCCGGAAGGACUGGGUAAUCUUGUGAAACUUUGUCGUGCUGGGGAUAGAGCAUUGUAAUUAUUGCUCUUCAACGAGGAAUUCCUAGUAAGCGUGAGUCAUCAGCUCGCGUUGAUUACGUCCCUGCCCUUUGUACACACCGCCCGUCGCUACUACCGAUUGAAUGCUCAGGUGAGCCAUUCGGACUUUCAUCAUGCUGGUUUCCAGUUUUGAUGAAGGAAAGUCUUGCGAACCUUAUCAUUUAGAGGAAGGAGAAGUCGUAACA